CCUACGGGUGGCAGCAGUAGGGAAUAUUGCUCAAUGGGGGAAACCCUGAAGCAGCAACGCCGCGUGUAUGAUGAAGGUUUUCGGAUUGUAAACUCCUUUUGUUAGAGAAGAUAAUGACGGUAUCUAACGAAUAAGCACCGGCUAACUCCGUGCCAGCAGCCGCGGUAAUACGGAGGGUGCAAGCGUUACUCGGAAUCACUGGGCGUAAAGAGCGCGUAGGCGGGAUAGCAAGUCAGAUGUGAAAUCCUAUGGCUUAACCAUAGAACUGCAUUUGAAACUGUUAUUCUAGAGUAUGGGAGAGGUAAGUGGAAUUCUUGGUGGAGGGGUAAAAUGCGUAGAGAUUAAGAGGAAUACUCAUUGCGAAGGCGACCUGCUAGAACAUAACUGACGCUGAUGCGCGAAAGCGUGGGGAGCAAACAGGAUUAGAUACCCCUGUAGUC
rnacentral:rRNA from 1 species